rnacentral:rRNA from 1 species
GAUGAACGCUGGCGGCGUGCCUAAUACAUGCAAGUCGAGCGAAAAGACGAGGAGCUUGCUCCUUUGACGAUAGCGGAGGACGGGUGAGUAACGCGUGGAUACUCUACCUAUCAGACUGGGAUAACUUCGGGAAACCGGAGCUAAUACCGGAUAAUAUAUUGCACCGCAGGGUUCAAUAGUGAGAGACGGCUUUGCUGUCACUUAUAGAUGGAUCCGCGCCGCAUUAGCUAGUUGGUAAGGUAACGGCUUACCAAGGCAACGAUGCGUAGCCGACCUGUGAGAGUGGUCGGCCACAUGGGAGCGGGACCGCGGACCAGGCGCCUGCGAGAGGCAGCAGACGGGAACGUGCCGCAGUGGUCGAAAACCUGGCGGAGCGACGCCGCGCGAGUGGUAGAGGUCUUGGGAGCGGAAUACUCUGUUACUGGGGGAGAACAGAUGUGUAAGUAACUGUGCAGGUCUUGACGGUACCUGAUCAGGAAGCCACGGCUAACUACGUG